rnacentral:rRNA from 1 species
GUAGGGAAUCUUCGGCAAUGGGGGGAACCCUGACCGAGCAACGCCGCGUGAGUGAAGAAGGUUUUCGGAUCGUAAAGCUCUGUUGUAAGAGAAGAACGUGUGUGAGAGUGGAAAGUUCACACAGUGACGGUAACUUACCAGAAAGGGACGGCUAACUACGUGCCAGCAGCCGCGGUAAUACGUAGGUCCCGAGCGUUGUCCGGAUUUAUUGGGCGUAACGCGAGCGCAGGCGGUUUGAUAAGUCGGAAGUAAAAGGCUGUGGCUUAAGCAUAGGAUGCUUUGUAAACUGUCAAACUUGAGUGCAGAAGGGGAGAGUGGAAUUCCAUGUGUAGCGGUGAAAUGCGUAGAUAUAUGGAGGAACACCGGUGGCGAAAGCGGCUCUCUGGUCUGUAACUGACGCUGAGGCUCGAAAGCGUGGGGAGCAAACAGGAUUAGAAACCCUAGUAGUCC